rnacentral:rRNA from 1 species
GACGAACGCUGGAGGCAGGCCUAACACAUGCAAGUCGAACGAGUGGCGGACGGGUGAGUAAUUUCUGGGAAACUGCCUGAUGGAGGGUGAUAACUCCUGGAAACGGUAGCUAAUACCGCAUACCAUCAGCUGUCCCCAGAUGGGAUUGGCUAGUUGGUGGGGUAACGGCUCACCAAGGCGACGAUCCCUAGCUGUGCUGAGAGGAUGACCGGCCACACUGGAACGGAGACACGGUCCAGACUCCGACGGGAGGCAGCAGUGGGGAAUAUUGCACAAGGGGCGCAAGCCUGAUGCAGCCAUGCCGCGUGUAUGAAGAAGGCCUUCGGGUUGUAAAGUACUUUCAGCGGGGAGGCGUUACCCGCAGAAGAAGCACCGGCUAACUCCGUGCCAGCAGCCGCGGUAAUAC